GUGAGUGCUUGAAAUUUUCCUUUUUCUGGAUAAAGAAAGUUUGCAUGUCUUUUAUCUUGGACCUCCAAACAACGACAACAGACACUGCCAAACACAACAGUUGUGAGUGCUUGAAAUUUUCCUUUUUCUGGAUAAAGAAAGAUUACAUGUCUUUUUAUCUUGGACCUCCAAACAACGACAACAGACACUGCCAAACACAACAGCUGUUGUCAGACAGAUCCUGCCGGCCAUUAAGAAAGGCAUCUAUAGGGCACGACUGAAACUUGUACAACAUAGUACGAGCACCUAACCAAUUUGAAAACUUGCGAUCGUCCUGACUGCGGCUACACUUAACGUUGCUGUGUUUCCUCUGCGCACGCGAGUCCGUGUUAUUACUUUUAUUAUUGCCCAGUUGCUUUCACCUACAAGUUCUACCUUUGGGACAACAGCUGUACAGUUCAACGAUGCCAACGACGACGGAAAUAUGAAAAUUUUGGAACGAAAAAUUGAAGAGCUUGCCAUUCUCAUUGGCGGAACACUUUGUGCCUUGAAACAAUAAUCAUCUAUUUCAACUGUAGCAGGUGAACCCAAACGAACUGGAAGGUAAUAUGAAAAAAAAAAGAUCCUUUUACAGACCAUAAAUGUUGCAUCCAGGGCAAGCAGCAAUUAGAUACAGAAACAAGGCACUUAUUUCGGUGUAUAAUAAUUAAAGAUGCGUUGCCAAUCAGUAAGUAGUUGACGAAAUAUGUGGGGCCCGAACUCUGUUCAAACGCAAUAGAUGCUAUCGUUCUUUUUUAAUAUAUUGGCACUGUUAGUCUUUCAGUUAGCAAAGUGCUUUGGAAAAUGAACGCACGAUGGAAUUACUAGGAAGCUUUUAAUUUUGAACAAAAAACUUUUCUAAGGCGAGGCACUUUGAAGUUUGCAUCAUGAACAGUCCUACACCCGAUUUCCGCUCUAGCGUAAAGCACCGCAAAGGCUGACGAACAUCUGCACUUAACAUGCAAAGCUUCGUUUUAAGCGCACCUGUACGUUCUUAACUACAUAAUAGGAAAUAGUUGGUCGAUGCUCCCCGUGUGGCGCUCAUGGUAAU